rnacentral:tRNA from 1 species
GCCCCCUGAGUAUCAAAGUACAAGUGCCUUCCAAUCACUAAGUCUUAGUAACACCCUAAGAGGGGAUA